ensembl:lncRNA
GUCGGGGGAGUGUCCUGCCCUAUUUUUUUACCGCCGACUCUCAUUUUUUCGGCAUCCACAGGCUUCCCUGGAUGUGGGCUUUCGGGAAGGCUCUGUUACUUUCCAGUCUUUUCCAGGGUAAAUUUAUCCACCACUGAGGGAGAACCCCAGCGGCUGCUGCCCCCGUGGAAAGGGUGCCGAGAGGAAGAGCUGCAGCCCAAGGCCGGCUGAAAACCCGGGGUUAAAACCAGAGUAUGUUUGCUCAGCAGGUACCCGAAGGAGCGACCCUGAGGUUUGCUCUCCCGUUUUGCUCUGUCGGCCCCUUUGCGUUUAUAGGUCUUUUGGAAUCCAACCAGAGGACUGCAGGUGAGAGAGAAGCAGGGAUACACAUCACCAGAAGGUUGUGUUCCAGCAGUGGGAAAGCUUCGAGAAGCUGCUAAAAGCGUUCUACACUGCAUUUUUCUCUGACCAGACUUCACGUGAGUGAUCAAAUGACAGGCCAUUAUUUUUUGUAUUUCCGAGGAAGUAAUAUUUUUGCUACUUGUAAGUGACUAUUUGUAAUUUUUGCUAUUAUAGUAAGCACCUAUCCAAUCAAUCUUGAUUUUUAAAUCUCUUUUAGUCUCUUGAACAAAUACGUUUACAAGAAAAAUCAGGUUUGUUUAGAAUCAUGGAAUGAUUUAGACUGGAAGGGACUUUGAAGGUCAUCUGGUCCAACCUCCUACUCAAAGCAGACCUAACCUACUAAGAUGGGUUGGUUUUCUAUUAAAAUUUUUUUUUAUUCAAUAGCAGUAUUUUAUGGCAAUAGUUCUUGCUGAAGAGCUUGUUCUAAACCACUUUCCAUUUACUAAUUUCCCCUGUUAACUUUGCUGCUGUAAAUAUUCCCUGUAGUCACCUUUGGAAUCAACAAUCCCUGUUCACAAUUUAUUCUCUUGCCUCUUGCAUUGACAAUGGCAAAGAAUAGAGACCAACCUGAAUAUGCAGAGUAAAAUACAGUUGGGAAAAUGGGGUUUAUUAUCCCAUAUUCUGAAGAAUGACCAUACCUCAGUCCAGGAUUAUUGCUUUGAAGCUAAAGGAAAUUAAACCAUUCUUCUACCUUUAGGCCCAAAAGAAAAUGACUUCAUUUCCGUGUAUUUCCAGAGACGAUGAGCUGCUGAUCUAUGAUUCUUCUCAACUUAUAGGACAGCUGAACAAAAUGUAAAAACCAAAGGCCUGGCUUUGCUCUCAGUUGUUCUGGUAUAAUCCAAGCUCAGCUUCUCUGGUGUUAAUGAAUUUAUUCCAGUUUUACUGUGCUGUGAUCAAACCAGAAUAUAUUGUAUAGUUUGCAUGAAAGAAUUGGGCCAUUUUCUUCUGUUUUCAGAUGAUGAACUGUCUGUUGGUUGGUCUGUAGCCUCCCUUUCUCACCCUUUCCCUCUUCUAUAAUUUAAAAAAAUGUGUAUUUGC